AAGAGCAAAUGGUUGCUUUUUCCUGUUGUGAUGUUUUCAAGAGCUGGUCUAAUUUUUCCUCACACAGCUAGUUUUCAUUACUGCUUUCAGAUGAUAAUGGGAUUGCCUCAUUCCAUGAAUCCACAGAACUGAAUUUGCUUUUGUAAAGAUAGCCUAGAGCAUUAGGUUCACAUAAGACUAAGUUUCAGAAACAGACAGAACUAAAAAUAUCUGUAAACAUGCUGUAAACAUGGGGCCUAGUCUUGCUCACAAUGAAGUCAAUGACAAACUUCUAUUGACUUCAGUGGGAUCAGGAUCAGGCAUUGUUACUAUGGUAUAAUAAAAGCUAAGCCCUUGUCAUGGUAUUCCUUUUUGUUCAAAAUAAACGAACAAAAAUAAAUCAAAUUGUAGCUCCGUGAUCUCUCAACACCCCUGUCAAUGAAUUACUUUUAUUGAUACAGGCAGAACUAACUUUGUGUAAACUCCCCUCAGAAAUAGAAAUUCUAAAGCAGGAGCCAGCAACUCCCAACUUAUUCUGUAUUCAAUCUUGGUUUGCAUUUAUUCACUGAAAGUUCCUCACACACAUAUUUAAACUAAAUAAAGUAUUAUCCUAAGCUCAGCAAGUCACAGGCCAAAUUUAUCCGGGUAUUUGACAUCAGUGAAGUUUUGCUAGGGAUGAAUCAGGCUCAUGCAUCUACACUCCCAUUUUUUCAACUGUUAAGUAGAUUUUUCAUGUGCAAAUGGGUCAUUCUUGGAGCAAACUUCCGCCUUUGAAUGAGUUUACACUAUUCCCAUAAAUGGGAGAUAUCUGGGCCCAUAAUUUGAUCUUGUGUUUGACCCUACAGAGAAGUUGGUAUAUAGGGGGUUAAUUCUCUCCUCUGGAUUAAGAAGAAGGGCCACUGAUGCCGGCCCUGAGUGCAGGGAAUUGCAAGGUGGCUGGGCUGGGCUGCUGCAUAGAAUUAGUGGACUACAAGAGGGCUAUGCUGCAGGAAGGCAGGAGUGGAACCUGGCAGUGAGAAGGAGAGCGGGAAACCCUCUAAGAAAAGGGAAGGAGCUGAGCAGGGAAGCAGCAGCAGGGUUUCUCACUCCCUGGGGCGGCUUACAGUGUUUGCUUGAGACACCACAUGUGUGGAGCUUGCAGGGAAAAGCUUAAGUGUUUUGCUGACUUGCUGAGGACAGCAUGACAUCACCAACGCUGCAAAGUACCGGUUGCUGAUCACCCUGCUCUCCCACUGACUUCAGUAGGGGAAGGGCCUUUCAGAGUGAACCAUGGUGAACAUGAGAAAAAGAGGCCCUUGAAUAUUUCUGGAGGUCAAAUAAUCAGUUUAGUAAAAGAACACAAAUUCUUAUUCAUUCCAGGGUUCUCUCUGGAAACCCAAGGAGUAUUAUUGUUUGUCAUCAUAUAAUUGCGAAUUCUAAAAUGCUAUUGGAGCAGAGCAGGUGAUUCUCGCUGCUAUCAUAAAUUGGGAAAAGCCUGGAGACUCUGCUGCAAAUAAACUGAAACAUGUUUUGUAAGCAGAUGAAAAGAGGGUUUAUCUGAUGGCAUCAAGACUUACGUUUAAUAUUUCAUUAUACUGUAGAACAGGGGUGGGCAAACUAUGGCUCGGGGGCUGCAUCCGGCCCUUCAGACAUUUCAAUCUGGCCCUCGAGCUACAGCACCCAGGGCUUGCCCCGCUCCUGCCAGGGAGCAGGAUUGGGGGCUUGCCUGGCUCCAUGCAUGCCAGGUCUCCGGGUGGCUCCUGGAAGCAGCAGCAUGUCCCUCCUCCACCUCCUAC